rnacentral:snRNA from 1 species
AUAGCUUCUCAGCCUUUUGGCUAAGAUCAAGUGUAGUAUCUGUUCUUAGCAGUUUAAAAUUGAUUUACCUUUGCUAAAUGGUGUAAAGCAUUCUGGAUUGAAUUAAGAUUUCCAAGUGAGUUGUCAUCUUAU